ACCAGACUCCUACGGGAGGCAGCAGUGGGGGAUAUUGGACAAUGGGGGAAACCCUGAUCCAGCGACGCCGCGUGAGUGAAGAAGUAUUUCGGUAUGUAAAGCUCUAUCAGCAGGGAAGAAAGAAAUGACGGUACCUGACUAAGAAGCCCCGGCUAACUACGUGCCAGCAGCCGCGGUAAUACGUAGGGGGCAAGCGUUAUCCGGAUUUACUGGGUGUAAAGGGAGCGUAGACGGCGAUGCAAGUCUGAAGUGAAAGGCGGGGGCCCAACCCCCGGACUGCUUUGGAAACUGUAUGGCUGGAGUGCAGGAGAGGUAAGUGGAAUUCCUAGUGUAGCGGUGAAAUGCGUAGAUAUUAGGAAGAACACCAGUGGCGAAGGCGGCUUGCUGGACAGUAACUGACGUUGAGGCUCGAAAGCGUGGGGAGCAAACAGGAUUAGAUACCCCGGUA
rnacentral:rRNA from 1 species